rnacentral:sRNA from 1 species
AUUGGAUCCAUUCAGCCGCAGCCGCCCGGGCGGAGCGCGUCCCGCAGCCGGCUGGUCCCUGUCGCUGCCCCUGCGCUCGUCCCAGCCCACCCGCCCGGUGCGGAGCUCGCCAUGGCGGCCACCGACCUGGAGCGCUUCUCGCACCAUCUGUCACUUCCGUUGUCACCCCCGCAAUCUUGAUACUUCCCCAAGAAGCGGGCUCUUCAGGGAGUACCUAGUCCCUCCUGAAGCAGGAAUUGAGAGCCCGCACCCAAAUGGGGCUCAAGGUCUCUGUCAGAGUGAUAUCUCCCCAUCUUGUAAAAACGGCCAGUAGCCUCCUUGCUGAGCCAUGCCGAAGAAAAACGGGAGCUGAGCAAGAGAUGCCCGUGCAGCUCCCAGGGCACAUGUGAGCACCACCUGCAGAGCUGCAGCUCUGCCCUCUCCCCCAGGAGAAUGCAGAGCCAGAGCCCCGGAGCCUCUCCCUGGGCGGCCAUGUGGGUUUCGACAGCCUCCCCGACCAGCUGGUCAGCAAGUCGGUCACUCAGGGCUUCAGCUUCAACAUCCUCUGUGUGGGGGAGACCGGCAUUGGCAAAUCCACACUG